AAAGCAUGAGAUUUGCUACUUGGUGUAUAGUUUCUUGUCUUCUCAUCUUACUCGUAAUAACUGAUGGUAAAGUACCUAAAGUUGAUCCAGAUAAUAUAUGUCCAAGAAUAGAAGAUAUCGAAGGAAACUGCAAAGUUGAUGGACUGAAAGCGUGUGAGAAGUAUAUGUCGACAACUUAUAACCGUAACUAUUUUAAUUGCACAUGUGACAACGUCUACAUGAUACAUAAGAUCAAGCGUUACUGCCGAUGUAAUUCAAUAUGUCCAGACGCUCCACCUCCAUCGAUCCAGCCUCGUUAAAUAACAUCUCACUAGUCCUUACUGAUAACAAAAGAGAAGUUGUGAGUGUUUGUAGUGUGGAGAUCAAGUGUUUGUAGUGUGGAGAUCACACACGAAUAGGUUUUGUUAGUUACCAAUCUUUCUUUUGUAAUAAAGUCAUGAGUUCAUAUUUUA